UACGUAGGGGGCGAGCGUUGUCCGGAUUUAUUGGGCGUAAAGAGCUCGUAGGCGGUUCGAUAAGUCGGACGUGAAAUCUCCACGCUCAACGUGGAGGGGCCGUUCGAUACUGUCGUGACUCGAGUCCGGUAGGGGAGUGUGGAAUUCCCGGUGUAGCGGUGAAAUGCGCAGAUAUCAGGAGGAACACCGGUGGCGAAGGCGGGUCUCUGGGCAGUAACUGACGCUGAGAAGCGAAAGCGUGGGGAGCGAACAGG
rnacentral:rRNA from 1 species